rnacentral:lncRNA from 1 species
GUGUGAGCUAAGACAGCCCAUUACAGUGUGGUUCUUUCCAAAGUCCAUGUUCCUCACUGAGGAACCAUGUCAUGACAAAGUAUUUUGAGGUAUUUGCAAUUGUAGAAUAAAUGGUGAAGCAAGAACCCCUUCCAAAGCAGGCCUUGAGUAUUUUGGACUUGAGUUGCAGCUGAAGUGGAAACUUUUGGAAACCUUGCCAUUAAUGUCAAUGGGAACGAGAGGUCACAAAGGAGCAUUUUUCCUGCUGAAACUUCAAGACAUUUGUUCCUGAGUUGCAGGAGAUUUGCUGGAUAAGGCCCUCUUAAAAUUACCCAGACCAUAUGGAUGGCAGGGCUCUGCAGGAUUCUGACAGACAAUAUGCUGUGGCUUCAGGUAUUUGCAGUAGGCAUGCAUUGCAGCUAGGAUGAAGUGAAUGUCACCUAAUAC